UAGUGGUGGAUAUGUAAUGGAACCGUCCUCCGGUGUAAGCAUUGAUCCCGUCGACAACCUUCUUUUGUGGAUAUUUUCGUCAUGCUCCCAGGACUAUUUUGAUGUGUAUAUCAACGACUUGAAUGGCGCGCAAGCAAACUGUAUGACAAGUCGGCAGGCAACCAAUGCUAGCGACCUUGACCCUUACGUGUAAUGACACUGCAGGUCAAGUUUAUGGCCCUGAUGUUCAGUGCGAAAGGAUACAGGGGCAAGGAUCAUACUUGGCUAGGGGCUACCUCAACAAUGAUUAUUCCAACUUGUGUGCUUUAAUGCCGUGUUCAGCAACUGCCAACAAUGGAUCAGUAUUCUUUAGAAUACCCUGGGAAGGUACAACGUGUGGGGUUGGUAAGGUUUGUCAGUCUGGAUCCUGUGUCGAGUCUCCAUCAGCCCCACAAGCAGGCAACGAAACUUGUCUAUUUGGAGAUGUUCCGUACAAUGUGCCCGGUCAGUCCUCCAACUGUAGAGAAUUCUUGGGAAGUGAUGCCACGUCUUACAGAUGUUACCAAGAAAGCUACAGAGAAAGUUGUUGUGCCACUUGUGAGGAGAUAAAACAAACCAACACAGCAUACACAGACUGCGAGUAUGGUGACAGAUUCAGCAAUUGUGACGAUUUAACAAACGCAAAUCUUUACUCAUGCAGCGACGAAGGUUUUCGAGGCAAUUGUUGUAAAACAUGUGUGGAUAAAGCCUUAGUUAUUCCAGACUGCAAAUAUGGUGACAGAUUCAGCAAUUGUGACAAUUUAACAGACUCAAAUCUUUAUUCAUGCAACGACGCAGAUUUUCGAGCUGGCUGCUGUAAAUCAUGUGCGGAUAAAGCCUUAGAUAUUCCAGACUGCACAUAUGGUGACAGAUACAGCAAUUGUGACUCGGAAACAGACUCAAAUCUUUACUCAUGCAAUGACACAGAUUUUCGAGCUGGCUGUUGUAAAUCAUGUGCGGAGAAAGCCUUAGAUAUUCCAGGUUGUCCGUAUGGAGACAAAUAUACUAAUUGUGCAAACUUACCCUGCAGUUCAUAUCCUGACGAUUGCUGUGAAACAUGUGCACCUUCCACUACUUCCACAACAACCACAACGUCAACAACAACCACGAGUCCUACAACAACAACCACAACUCCUACAAUAACAACAACACCUACAACGACAACCACAACGCCUUCAACAACAACCACAACACCUAUAACCACAACGCCUACAACAACAGCAACCACGACGCCUACAACAACAACCAUAACUCCUACAACCACAACCACAAAGCCUACAAUAACAACAACUACUACAACGCCUUCAACAACAACCACAACUCCUACAACGACCACCACAACGCCUACAAAAACAACAACAACCACAACGCCUACAACAACAACCACAACGCAUACAACAACAAUAACAACUACAACACCUUCAACAACAUCUCCUACAACAUCAACAACUGCCACCCCUCCAACAACAACUACAACGCCUUCAACAACAACCACAACUCCUACAAUGAUAACAACUACUACCACUCCUGCAACAACAACUGCUACAACGCCUACAACAACUACCACUCCUACAACAACAACAACAACUAUCACUUCAACAACAACAACCACAACUCCUACAACAACUACAACUCCUACAACCACAACUACAACUCCUACAUCGACAACAACUACUACCACUCCUACAACCACACAAACAACUACCACUCCUACAACAACAACCACAUCGCCUACAACAACUACCACUCCUACAACCACAACUACAACUCCUACAUCGACAACAACUACUUCCACUCCUACAACCACAACAACAACUCCUACAACGACAACAACAACUACCACUCCUACAACAACAACCACAACUCCUACAACCACAACCACAACGCCUACAACAACAAUAACAACUGCAACGUAUUCAGCAACAACUCCUACAACAACAACAACAACUGCCACUCCUACAACAACAACUACAACGCCUUCAACAACAACCACUUCAACGUCUUCAACAACAACCACAAUUCCUACAAUGAUAACAACUACUGCCACUCCUACAACAACAACUACAACGCCUUCAACAACAACCACUUCAACGUCUUCAACAACAACCACAAUUCCUACAAUGAUAACAACUACUACCACUCCUGCAACAACAACGCCUACAACAACUACCACUCAUAAAACAACAACUACCACUUCAACAAUAACAACCACUACUCCUACAACAACUACCAUUCCUACAACCACAACUACAACUCCUACAUUGACAACAACUACUACCACUCCUACAACCACAACAACAACUACCACUCCAGCAACAACAACCACAACUUCUACAACUACUACCACUCCUACAACCACAACAUCAACUCCUACAACGACAACAACAACUACCACUCCUACAGCCACAACUACAACGCUUUCGACAACAACCACAACUCCUACAACCACAACCACAACGCCUAAAACAACAACCACAACUCCUUCGACAACCACUACCACUCCUACAAUCACUACCACAACGCCUUCAACAACAAUCACAACUCCUACAACGACAACCACAACACCUACAACAACAACCAUAACUCCAACAACUGCCACUCCUACAACUACAACGCCUUCAACAACAACCACAACUCCUACAACCACAACACCUACAACAACAAUCAUAACUCCAACAACUGCCACUCCUACAACUACAACGCCUAAAACAACAACCACGACUCCUUCGACAACAGCUACCACUCCUAAAACCACAACCACAACUCCUACAACCACAACCACAACACCUACAACAACAACCAUAACUCCAACAACUGCCACUCCUACAACUACAACGCCUAAAGCAACAAGCACAACUCCUUCGACAACCACUACCACUCCUACAAUCACUAACACAACGCCUUCAACAACAACCACAACCCCCACAACGACAACCACAACACCUACAACAACAACCAUAACUCCUACAACGACAGCAACAACUACCACUCCUACAACAACAACAACGCCUACAACAACAACUACAAAGGCUACAACAACAACUACAACGCCUUCAACAACAACCACCACUCCUACAACCACAACCACAAAACCUGCAACAACAACCAUAACUCCAACAAUUGCCACUCCUACAACUAGAACGCCUAAAACAACAACCACAACUCCUUCGACAACCUCUACCACUCCUAAAAUCACAACUACAACGCCUUCAACAACAACCACAACUCCUACAACCACAACCACAACACCUACAACAACAAUCAUAACUCCAACAACUGCCACUCCUACAACUACAACGCCUAAAACAACAACCACGACUCCUUGGACAACAACUACCACUCCUACAAUCACUAACACAACGCCUUCAACAACAACCACAACUCCUACAACGACAACCACAACACCUACAACCACAACCAUAACUCCAACAACUGCCGCUCAACACUCAACCACAACUACAACGCCUUCAACAACAACCACAACUUCUACAACCACAACUACAACACCUACAACAACAACCAUAACUCCUACAACGACAACAACAACUACCACUCCUACAACGCCUACAACAACAACUACAAAGGCUACAACAACAACUACAACGCCUUCAACAACAACCACAACUUCUACAACCACAACCACAACACCUUCAACAACAACCAUAACUCCAACAAUUGCCACUCCUACAACUACAAUGCCUAAAACAACAACCACAACUCUUUCGACAACCACUACCACUUCUAAAAUCACAACUACAACGCCUUCAACAACAACCACAACUCCUACAACCACAACCACAACACCUACAACAACAAUAAUAACUCCAACAACUGCCACUCCUACAACUACAACGCCUAAAACAACAACCACAACUCCUUCUACAUCCACUACCACUCCUACAAUCACUACCACAACGCCUUCAACAACAACCACAACUCCUACAACGACAACAACUACUACCACUCCUACAACCACCACCACAACUCCUACAACAACAACCACAACCUCUACAACCACAACAAGAACUCCUACAACAACAACUGUAACUCCAACAGCAACUACAACAACAACCACUACUCCUUCAUCAGCAACAACUACUAUUCCUACAACAACAAUCAUUACUCCUUCAGCAACUAGAGCAACAACCACUACUCCUUCAUCAGCAACAACUACCACUCCAACAACAAGAACCACAACUCGUUCAACAAGGACUACUUCCACUCCUACAACCACCACCAGAACUCCUACAACAACAACCACCACCACUCCUGAAACAACAACAACAACUACAACUCCUACAACCACAACCACAACUUCUUCGACAACAACCACCACUCCUACAACCACAACCACAACUCCUUCGACAACAACCACCACUCCUACAACCACAAUCACAACUCCUACAUCAACAGCUACCACUUCUACAACAACAACAACCGCAACUCCUUCAACAACAUCAACUACCACUCCUACAUCAACAAUCACACCUCCUUCGACAACAACAACUACCACUCCGACAACAACAACAACGACAACUCCUUCGACAACAACCACAACAACUCCUUCAACAACUGCCACUCCUACAACAACAACCACAUCGCCUACAACAACAACUACAGCUCCUUCACCAAAAUCUACCAUUACAUCUUCUACAACGACAACCACCACCACAACUCCUUCAAUAACCACUACAAGUCCUACAACAACAACCUCCACUCCUACAACAAAAACUGUCACUCCUAAAGUAGCAACUGCCACUCCUACAACAACAACCACAACUCCUACAACAAAAACUACAACUCCUACACCAACAUCUACCACUACAACUUCUACAACGACAACUACCACCACAACUCCUUCAACAAUCACUAUAAGUCCUACAACAACAACUUCCACUCCUACAACAACAACUGUCACUCCUACAACAACAACUACAACUCCUACACCAACAUCUACCACUACAACUUCUACAACGACAACUACCACCACAACUCCUUCAACAAUCACUAUAAGUCCUACAACAACAACUUCCACUCCUACAACAACAACUGUCACUCCUACAACAACAACUACAACUCCUACAACGACAACCACCAUUACAAGUCCUACAACAACAACUACCUCACCUCUUACAACAUCAUCUAGCACUCCUACAACAACUACCACUCCUACAACAACAACUACCACUACAAGUCCUACAACAACAACUACAACUCCUACAACAACAACCAGACGUUCUUCCAUUACACUCAGAAUUUUAAUUGUAAUAUGGAUAUUUCCAAUCAGUACGGGUAACACCGACCUCAGUGACCCAGAUGUUCAACAGAAUAUAGCAAUUGUGAUAUUCAUAUACUAUCGACGCUUCCUUGGAAGUAAAUGCAGGGGUGUAAAGAUCAGAAAUUUACGGCGUGGAAGUCUGAUUGUAGAUUACGAAGUUGAAUAUGAGGACACUGAGGACGCCGCUGCUGAAGUUACAAAGGCAAACAUAGACAUAGUGGGAGGAAAAGAGAAUAUAACGCUACUGAAUGAGACGGUUUCUGCCACAUCAGUUCAGGUUAAUGACACAAUAGUAACCAGUGAAACAGUUGGGAGUUCAGAGACAGUAUGUGAGCUUUUCGUUUUGAGUAAUGGUCCUUGUGACGAAAACUAUUCCUGCUUUGUUGAAGAUGGAACUCCUACGUGUAUUUGGAAUAUCCGUGUUGAUUGCUGUCACUGUCUCAGUGUUUGUAUUCCUCGUCUUCGUUUCAAUACUCUUAUGCUUGUCUAUCCGAGCAUAUAGGCUUCGGAAGUUUAAACAUAGCCAACAUAGCCCAGAUUCCUUGACCACGGACUUUACUUAUAUUUACGAACAAAAUUGGCCAUACAAACGCAAUAUAGUCCCAUACGGUUCAACCGGUGGGUGGCAAGACAUGCCAGUAGGUUAUCUCCCUUAUUCAUGGGAAAUAAUUGGGCAUGGCAAUUAUCACUCAGACAGACAUCAU
rnacentral:misc_RNA from 1 species